rnacentral:rRNA from 1 species
GAUGAACGCUGGCGGCGUGCCUAAUACAUGCAAGUCGAACGAGGUGCUUUUGUAGCAAUACGAGAGUAUCCUAGUGGCGAACGGGUGAGUAACGCGUUGGUGACCUACCCCAAAGUGUGGGAUAACAGUCCGAAAGGAUUGCUAAUACCGCAUGUGGUCUUCGGAUUUAGAAACUGAUGACUAAAGGAGCAAUUCGCUUUGGGAGGGACCUGCGUCCCAUCAGCUAGUUGGUGAGGUAAUGGCUCACCAAGGCUACGACGGGUAGGGGACCUGAGAGGGUGACCCCCCCACAAUGGAACUGAAACACGGUCCAUACACCUACGGGUGGCAGCAGUAGGGAAUAUUGCACAAUGGGCGAAAGCCUGAUGCAGCAACGCCGCGUGUGCGAUGAAGGCCUUGGUCGUAAAGCACUUUUCUGGGAGAUGAGCAACGGACAGUAUCCCAGGAA